CAAGUUUCGAAAAGGGCAAAAACGCAGCGGCGCGAGGGAGAGAACCAGAGAUAAAGAGAGGGAGAUGGAGAACUGGAAUGAAGUUGUGAGAAAGGGAGCUGCGGCCAGUGAUCGAAGUGUUAAAGUUCUUCUUCUACUUGCAAAAAAACAUGAGUUUCGGGGGGCUUCUUGGCAUCCAACCUUCAGAGAUCAAGUUUACAUAUCAUUGCUAUUUCAUACAUAGAAAGCAUUCAGGGUUAGCUUGUCCAUUGGUCGACCAUCCGAGGGCCGAUUUACACAUCAACGAAGCUUUUUGAUCUGACUUUUUUUAUUUUUCAGUUUGGGUGCUAAGGUAGUUCUUCGUUCUGUAUAAUCUUCUGAUUAAUUUUUUGCUACUUGUGAACUGGUCCCUAAAUCGAAUCGAAGAAGCAGAGCUCUUGUUCCUUGCAUUUGGCCAAUAAAACCGGUGAUUAUGUGGCUUUUAAGCCGAUUAAUUGCUGAAGCAAGCGUUAUGUCUAGCAGCAGCUCUAGUAAUACAGAAUCAAGUAAACAGGAAACGAUCUUCUUCAAAGAGGAAGCUUGUGGUAAAAAGAAAGGAAGUGACCAGAUGAAGGGUUUCCUGAAUGCCUUCAUCAAAUUUGAUAGCAUUAUCUUCUGGAUCUUGUAAUAUAACAGAAAAUCAUAUCCAUGUGGCAAAUUGAGACAUUAAAAGUUGGAU